rnacentral:rRNA from 1 species
UCCUACGGGGGGCUGCAGUUAGGAAUAUUGGACAAUGGGCGCAAGCCUGAUCCAGCCAUGCCGCGUGAACGAUGAAGGCCUUCGGGUUGUAAAGUUCUUUAGCCGAUGAUUAUAAUGACUGUAGUCGGAAAAUAAGCCCCGGCUAACUUCGUGCCAGCAGCCGCGGUAAUACGAAGGGGGCGAGCGUUAUUCGGAAUCACUGGGCGUAAAGCGUGCGUAGGCGGUCUCGUAAGUUAGGAGUGAAAGCCCAGGGCUCAACCUUGGAAUUGCUCUUAAUACUGCAAGGCUAGAAUCUCGGAGAGGAUAGCGGAAUUUCCAGUGUAGCAGUGAAAUGCGUAGAUAUUGGAAGGAACACCAGUGGCGUAAGCGGCUAUCUGGACGAGUAUUGACGCUGAGGCACGAAAGCGUGGGGAUCAAACAGGAUUAGAUACCCCAGUAGUCGC